AACAGCACAGUACGUUUUAAGUACGUACAAUUUUGGUACUGUACGUACAUGAUGUAAAAUGUACGUUUUAAGUACGUACACUGGUGUACAUACCAGUACGUACAGAAGAGUACGUACUAAGUACGUACUAUUACGUCCAAGUAUGUACCAUGAGAAAGAAGAGCUAAGGCAUAUUUAUUAUGUCAGGUUAUGUUAACCUAACCUAAUUUAUUUGGUUAGGAACUUUCCUUCCACCUCGAGUACAGUCACUACAGUUUUGAUGUGAUAAUUCAUUGCAAGACAGUUUCAUUUAGAUUUUUUUUUACUUAUUUUUGGUGUUGGAGCUUAGUGUGGUUUCCUGUUAUCUUAUUGAGAAGCUGCAAUAAAAAGUGAAAAAUGUAGUGAUAAGAAGGUGGCGGAGCAAGAAAUUGGACGAUGGUUGAGGAGAGCCGGGGAUCGCUUAAAAACUUUCAAGGAAAAGGAAUCAGAAUAAAAAUUGAAUUUAUUUAUUUUUUAAAUAAUAAAGAUAUAUUCACCUA
rnacentral:misc_RNA from 1 species